GACAGAGGGUGCAAACGUUGUUCGGAAUUACUGGGCGUAAAGCGCGUGUAGGCAGUUUCGCAAGUCGGGUGUGAAAGCCCUGGGCUCAACCUAGGAAGUGCACUCGAAACUGCGAGACUUGAGUCCUGGAGAGGAGGGCGGAAUUCUCGGUGUAGAGGUGAGAUUCGUAGAUAUCGAGAGGAACACCGGUGGCGAAGGCGGCCUUCUGGACAGUGACUGACGCUGAGACGCGAAAGCGUGGGGAGCAAACAGG
rnacentral:rRNA from 1 species